rnacentral:rRNA from 1 species
GACGAACGCUGGCGGCAUGCCUAAUACAUGCAAGUCGAACGCUUUAAUUUCACCGGGUGCUUGCACCCAUCGGAGUUAAGGAGUGGCGGACGGGUGAGUAACUCGUGGGUAACCUGCCCAUAAGAGGGGGAUAACAUUCGGAAACGGAUGCUAAUACCGCAUAUUUCUAAUCGUCUCCUGACGAAUGGAAGAAAGGUGGCUUCGGCUACCGCUUAUGGAUGGACCCGCGGCGUAUUAGCUAGUUGGUGAGGUAAUGGCUCACCAAGGCGAUGAUACGUAGCCGGACUGAGAGGUUGAACGGCCACAUUGGGACUGAGACACGGCCCAG